rnacentral:rRNA from 1 species
AACCCUGACGCAGCAACGCCGCGUGUGGGAAGAAGGCCUUCGGGUCGUAAACCACUUUUGCACGGGACGAAAAGGGAUAUCGAACAAAUAUCCCCGAUGACGGUACCGUGAGAAUAAGCCACGGCUAACUCUGUGCCAGCAGCCGCGGUAAGACAGAGGUGGCAAGCGUUGUUCGGAAUUACUGGGCGUAAAGAGUCUGUAGGUGGUUUGUCAAGUCUUUGGUGAAAGGCCGUAGCUUAACUAUGGGAAUGCCAAAGAGACUGGCAGGCUGGAGGCUGGGAGAGGGAAGCGGAAUUUCUGGUGUAGCGGUGAAAUGCGUAGAUAUCAGAAGGAAGGCCGGUGGCGAAGGCGGCUUCCUGGAACAGUCCUGACACUGAGAGACGAAAGCGUGGGGAGCAAACAGGAUUAGAUACCCUGGUAGUCCACGCCCUAAACGAUGGGUACUAAGUGUGGAGGGGUUAAACCCUCC